rnacentral:misc_RNA from 1 species
UCACUACUUGCGUAGGCAGUCUUCUUAGAGUGCCCUGCAUUACCAGAUGGCAACUAAGAACGAGGGUUGCGCUCGUUGCGGGACUUAACCCAACACCUCACGGCACGAGCUGACGACAGCCAUGCAGCACCUGUACAAACUCUCCUUGCGGAACCCCGACUUUCAUCAGGAUUAGUUUGCAUUUCAAGCCUAGGUAAGGUUCUUCGCGUUGCGUCGAAUUGAACCACAUGCUCCACUGCUUGUGCGGGCCCCCGUCAAUUCCUUUGAGUUUCAACCUUGCGAUUGUACUUCCCAGGUGGAAUACUUAAUGCGUUAGCUUGGAUACUGACCUUAUAAAAAGGCCAACAUCUAGUAUUCAUCGUUUAGGGUGUGGACUAC